AUACGGAGGGUGCAAGCGUUAUCCGGAAUCACUGGGUUUAAAGGGUGCGUAGGCGGCUAUAUAAGUCAGAGGUGAAAGGCUACGGCUUAACUGUGGGAUUGCCUUUGAUACUGUAUAGCUGGAAUCAGGUUGAAGUUAGUGGAAUGCGGCAUGUAGCGGUGAAAUGCAUAGAUAUGUCGUAGAACACCGAUUGCGAAGGCAGCUAACUGGGCUUGAAUUGACGCUGAGGCACGAAAGCGUGGGGAUCGAACAGGAUUAGAUACCCUGGUAGUCCACGCCCUAAACGAUGCUAACUCGAUGUAUGGUUGCAAGACUGUGCGUCUAAGGGAAACCGUUAAGUUAGCCACCUGGGGAGUACGUUCGCAAGAAUGAA
rnacentral:rRNA from 1 species